rnacentral:lncRNA from 1 species
GUAGCAGCGGGCGGCAGCCGCCGAGGCAGCAAUGUCAGGAGGGCACAGCUGGAGGAGGCGGCCGCCAAAGCCACUACCCCACCCCCAGGAAGAUUUGGAAAAGAGGCACUGGCUACUGGAGGAAGGGAGAAAUCACCGAGAGAGCGAAAGAUGUAACAGAAACAGGCUCUUGUUCUGUCACCCAUACUUGGAGUGCAGUGGUACAAUGAUAGCUCACUGCAGCCUCAAACUCCUGGUCUCAAGCAAUCCUCUCACCUCAGCCUCCCAGAUGCAGUGACUCAUGCCUAUAAUCCCAGUACUUUGGAAGGUCAAGGCACAAGGAUCCAUUGAGGCCAGGAGUCCAAGACCAGCCUGCACAAUGUAGCAAGACUCCUUCUCUACAAAAAAAUAAAUAAAAAUUAGCCAGGCAUGGUGGUGCACUCCUGUAGUCCCAGCUACUCAAGAGGCUGAUGUAGAGAAUCGCAUUAUCCCAGAGGUCAAGGCUGCAGUGAGCCGUGAUCAUGCCUCUGCACUCCAGCCUGGACGAUAGAGCAAG